GACGAACGCUGGCGGCGUGCUUAACACAUGCAAGUCGAACGAAGAGCGAUGGAAGCUUGCUUCAAUCAAUCUUAGUGGCGAACGGGUGAGUAACGCGUAAUCAACCUGCCCUUCAGAGGGGGACAACAGUUGGAAACGACUGCUAAUACCGCAUACGAUCUAAUCUCGGCAUCGAGGAUGGAUGAAAGGUGGCCUCUAUUUAUAAGCUAUCACUGAAGGAGGGGAUUGCGUCUGAUUAGCUAGUUGGAGGGGUAACGGCCCACCAAGGCGAUGAUCAGUAGCCGGUCUGAGAGGAUGAACGGCCACAUUGGGACUGAGACACGGCCCAGACUCCUACGGGAGGCAGCGGUGGGGAAUCUUCCGCAAUUGACGAAAGUCUGACGGAGCAACGCCGCGUGAGUGAUGACGGCCUUCGGGUUGUAAAGCUCUGUUAAUCGGGACGAAAGGCCUUCUUGCGAAUAGUUAGAAGGAUUGACGGUACCGGAAUAGAAAGCCACGGCUAACUACGUGCCAGCAGCCGCGGUAAUACGUAGGUGGCAAGCGUUGUCCGGAAUUAUUGGGCGUAAAGCGCGCGCAGGCGGAUUGGUCAGUCUGUCUUAAAAGUUCGGGGCUUAACCCCGUGAUGGGAUGGAAACUGCCAAUCUAGAGUAUCGGAGAGGAAAGUGGAAUUCCUAGUGUAGCGGUGAAAUGCGUAGAUAUUAGGAAGAACACCAGUGGCGAAGGCGACUUUCUGGACGAAAACUGACGCUGAGGCGCGAAAGCCAGGGGAGCGAACGGGAUUAGAUACCCCGGUAGUCCUGGCCGU
rnacentral:rRNA from 1 species